GGCGAGAUGGCCGAGCGGUCUAAGGCGCUAGCUUAAGGUUGAUUGUUUGCAGUCGAUUACAACGCUAGUCCGAAAGGGCGUGGGUUCGAAUCCCACUCUCGUCA